rnacentral:misc_RNA from 1 species
CUAAGGAGUUUUUGUGAGUGGAAUGUUGGCGUCCUGCCUGUGAUGGGUGGGGUUGGGGGCAUGCUGUUGGGUUGUGGGGUAUCACAUGUGUGGUGGCCU